UACGAAGGGGGCUAGCGUUGCUCGGAAUCACUGGGCGUAAAGCGCACGUAGGCGGCUUACUAAGUCAGGGGUGAAAUCCUGGAGCUCAACUCCAGAACUGCCUUUGAUACUGGUGAGCUUGGAGUCCGAGAGGGGUGAGUGGAACUGCGAGUGUAGAGGUGAAAUUCGUAGAUAUUCGCAAGAACACCAGUGGCGAAGGCGGCUCACUGGUCCGGUACUGACGCUGAGGUGCGAAAGCGUGGGGAGCAAACAGG
rnacentral:rRNA from 1 species